rnacentral:rRNA from 1 species
GACGGAGGAUGCAAGUGUUAUCCGGAAUCACUGGGCGUAAAGCGUCUGUAGGUGGUUUUAAUAAGUCAACUGUUAAAUCUUGAGGCUCAACCUCAAAAUCGCAGUCGAAACUAUUAGGCUAGAGUAUAGUAGGGGUAAAGGGAAUUUCCAGUGGAGCGGUGAAAUGCGCAGAUAUCAGGAGGAACACCGGUGGCGAAGGCGGGUCUCUGGGCCGAUACUGACGCUGAGGAGCGAAAGCGUGGGGAGCGAACAGG